AGUACACUCCUGGCCUUCUAGGGUAGGAGAUGAAAAUUGCCAGACGGACCCUAGACAAGCACACCAGGAAAGCUGUCCAGCUGUGAAAUCAGCCCGGGCUACAGGACUGUGGAAGGCAAACUCUGUGGAUACAGAGACCAUGCCUUAAGCCUCCAUGGUAAGCGCUCAACUGAUGCCCACUGAACAAAUAGAGCCCACAAACAGAGGCCCUAGACAGGUAACCUUCCACAUCAGUGGCAGAAAGGAAGGCUACCUUCACUCAGCUCUGUCUCCUGGAUGCUUCGGCUGGAAGCCUCAAGAAGCCGGAAGCCAGAACUGGGCCAUCUGUGCUCAGCACUGCAGACUCCAACAACUCUACAGAUACGGACCGCUCAAGGUCUUCUCAUCCGGCUUCUAUAGAGUGAGGGAAUCCAUACGUAUCAAACAAAC
ensembl:lncRNA